rnacentral:rRNA from 1 species
ACUCCUACGGGAGGCAGCAGUGGGGAAUUUUCCGCAAUGGGCGAAAGCCUGACGGAGCAAUACCGCGUGAGGGACGAAGGCCUGUGGGUUGUAAACCUCUUUUGUUAGGGAAGAUAAUGACGGUACCUAACGAAUAAGCAUCGGCUAACUCCGUGCCAGCAGCCGCGGUAAGACGGAGGAUGCAAGCGUUAUCCGGAAUUAUUGGGCGUAAAGCGUACGUAGGCUGUUUAAUAAGUCUGUUGUCAAAGCCCGAGGCUCAACCUUGGAUCGGCAAUGGAAACUGUUAGACUAGAGAGAGAUAGGGGCAGGAGGAAUUCCAGGUGUAGCGGUGAAAUGCGUAGAUAUCUGGAAGAACACCARUGGCGAAAGCGUCCUGCUGGAUCUCAACUGACGCUGAAGUACGAAAGCUAGGGGAGCGAAUGGGAUUAGAUACCCCAGUAGUCCUAGCCGUAAACGAUGGGUACUAGGUGUUGGCCGUAUCGACCCGGUCAGUGCCGUAGCUAACGCGUUAAGUACCCCGCCUGGGGAGUACGGUCGCAAGAUUGAAACUCAAAGGAAUUGACGGGGGCCCGCACAAGC